AUUGUUGAUUGCACCAGUAUUUGACAAGCAGCUUUUUGAGACAAACACUGAAGUCAAGCAUAAGGACGUUCGUUGUGACAGUGAGACCUUCAGGCAGGCAGACAGAGCCAUGAUCAGAGCUAGAGUUCCACAGUUCCACAGUCGGGCGACGCUCUCCUCCUCCUACGAUGGAAGAAGUCUUACAGCGGCUUACCAAGGUUAGCAUCCACCAGAAGCAAAUUAUGGAGCAUCUGGCUACACGCCAAGGGGAGGCAGAGCGCUUCCUGACCCCCGUGUGCAGGCCACCCGGUCACGGCCCAAGAUGACUGUACAUGACAUGACAUAGAGGCCUACUUCCAAAUGUUUGAGUGCACACUUGAAAACAAAGCCCAUGGAUUUUGAUUGCGUCUCUCGCAUAGUCUGACAAAGGAGUAUAAUUUAAAAAUUGUGCAGUCAACUGAUUGUGAAAUGGAACUUUAUGCUGAUUUAUCCUACCUCUAUCAUUCAGCACAAAUCCAAAUAUUUCAUAAUGUUUUCAUAUUUGCAAUACAACAAUAAAGCAGACUUGACUAUUUGAAUACAUUUUGUAAAUUAAAGGUACUGUACU